rnacentral:rRNA from 1 species
GACGAACGCUGGCGGCGUGCUUAACACAUGCAAGUCGAACGAUGAAGUUCCUUCGGGAAUGGAUUAGUGGCGAACGGGUGAGGAACACGUGAGAAACCUGCCCAUCAUUCUGGGAUAACACCGGGAAACCGGUGCUAAUACCGGAUACUCCAUCGCGGCGGCAUCGCUGCGCUGGGAAAGAAUUUCGAUGAUGGAUGGUCUCGCGGCCUAUCAGCUUGUUGGUGAGGUAAUGGCUCACCAAGGCGACGACGGGUAGCCGGCCUGAGAGGGCGACCGGCCACACUGGGACUGAGACACGGCCCAGACUCCUACGGGAGGCAGCAGUGGGGAAUAUUGGGCAAUGGACGCAAGUCUGACCCAGCGACGCCGCGUGAGGGAUGAAGGCCUUCGGGUUGUAAACCUCUCUCAGCUAUGACGAAGCGCAAGUGACGGUAGUAGCAGAAGAAGGACCGGCCAACUACGUGCCAGCCGCCGCCGUAA